rnacentral:rRNA from 1 species
AACGAACGCUGGCGGCAUGCCUAACACAUGCAAGUCGAACGAGACCUUCGGGUCUAGUGGCGCACGGGUGCGUAACGCGUGGGAACCUGCCCUUAGGUUCGGAAUAACUCCCCGAAAGGGGUGCUAAUACCGGAUAAUGUCUUCGGACCAAAGAUUUAUCGCCUUUGGAUGGGCCCGCGUUGGAUUAGCUAGUUGGUAGGGUAAAAGCCUACCACGGCGACGAUCCAUAGCUGGUCUGAGAGGAUGAUCAGCCACACUGGGACUGAGACACGGCCCAGACUCCUACGGGAGGCAGCAGUGGGGAAUAGUGGACAAUGGGCGAAAGCAUGAUCCAGCAAUGCCGCGUGAGUGAUGAAGGCCUUAGGGUUGUAAAGCUCUUUUACCCGGGAUGAUAAUGACAGUACCGGGAGAAUAAGCUCCGGCUAACUCCGUG